AAGACUAUAGACCUGCGGAGUACCUGCGGAAGGAUCAUUACCGAGUGAGGGCCUCCGGCCCGACCUCCAACCCUUUGUUGACCAACACCCGUUGCCUCGGGGGCGACCCGGUCUCCGCGCCGGGGUCCCCGGUGGACCUUUGCAAAUCUGUGUCUGUACGUCGGAGUUACUUGAUGAAUUAAUCAAAACUUUUAACAACGGAUCUCU
rnacentral:misc_RNA from 1 species